UUCUGCUGAAAUUUCUUACCAUAACAUUGUAUCAUAGUAGUAACUUCAUUGGUUCUUCCAAUAGUAAUUUGUUCUUUCAUGUAAUACAAGUUAUUCAACUCAAAUGAUACAAAGUGAAUAUUCAUCUUGCAUUUCACAAAUGAACUUAGGCAUCUUGUUGUUUUAAGCUUGAUAUGAUAAAUAAAUUGCCAUAGCUUCAGCUUAAGUACAUCAACAACUUCUGUACAUUUUGAAACUGGACCCCGAGGUGAGGAUAAAGUAAUGAACUCGCAAUAUGUCUU
rnacentral:lncRNA from 1 species